rnacentral:rRNA from 1 species
AUUGAACGCUGGCGGCAUGCUUUACACAUGCAAGUCGAACGGCAGCGCGGGCUUCGGCCUGGCGGCGAGUGGCGAACGGGUGAGUAAUGCAUCGGAACGUGCCCAGUAGUGGGGGAUAGCCCGGCGAAAGCCGGAUUAAUACCGCAUACGACCUGAGGGUGAAAGCGGGGGACCGAAAGGCCUCGCGCUAUUGGAGCGGCCGAUGUCGGAUUAGCUAGUUGGUGGGGUAAAGGCUUACCAAGGCGACGAUCCGUAGCUGGUCUGAGAGGACGACCAGCCACACUGGGACUGAGACACGGCCCAGACUCCUACGGGAGGCAGCAGUGGGGAAUUUUGGACAAUGGGGGAAACCCUGAUCCAGCCAUGCCGCGGGCGGGAAGAAGGCCUUCGGGUUGUAACCCGCUUUUGUUGGGGAAGAAAUCCUCUGGGCUAAUACCCCGGGGGGAUGGCGGUACCGGAAGAAUAAGCACCGGCUAACUACGUG